rfam:Bacillus litoralis strain C44 Scaffold1, whole genome shotgun sequence.
UCUGUGGUGACGCAGAAUCUGAAGGAAGCGAGCGGCAAACCUCCGGUCUGAGGAACACGAACUUCAUAUAAGGCUAGAUACCAUUGGAUGAGUUUGCUUAACAAAACAAAGU